UACGGGGGGGGCAAGCGUUGCUCGGAAUUACUGGGCGUAAAGGGCGCGUAGGCGGCCACCGCAAGUCGACUGUGAAAUCUCCGGGCUUAACCCGGAAAGGUCAGCCGAUACUGCGGGGCUAGAGUGCAGAAGGGGCAACUGGAAUUCUCGGUGUAGCGGUGAAAUGCGUAGAUAUCGAGAGGAACACCUGCGGCGAAGGCGGGUUGCUGGGCUGACACUGACGCUGAUGCGCGAAAGCUAGGGGAGCGAACGGG
rnacentral:rRNA from 1 species